rnacentral:lncRNA from 1 species
GUAAAUGUGUAAAUAGUUGGCAUUAGUGUUUAUGUGUGUGUACAUAGUUGCGUGUGGUUUCUGAUUGGUUGUCGUCCUAUUUCUGUUCAGUAUUCGGGAGUGGGAUUCUGGGGAGUCCCGGAGGGAACCCCUUACCAUAGGGUGCAGCGGGGGGCUGGGAGUGGGGAUUCUGAAGUGUUCUGUAUCUUGUACUGUCUGAAGCGACUUUGUUAAGACUGCUGCUGGGGACAUGUACGCUUCUAAUAAAAAGUACGCUUCUUUUACCCCGUCUGUCGAACCAUUUUCUAGUAGCUCUGUAGGGGGAUGCUACAUAGGGAUGUGUCUUCCAAUACAGUUUUAGCCGUUAGGGUUUUCAUCUCAUCUUUUAAAUAGCAGCAUUUAAAAUGUAUUGCCGGAGUUCGUGAUAUAUUACUGAUAUAUGGGAGUUCAACCAGUAUAUCAGUUGUGUUUCCGAGCGUCACAUGCGUUCUUUGGGGCUCCUUUGUUCCUCAGGUUCCCCGAGCCGCCGCCCUGCUGCUGCGUUUCCAGGGUGAUAGAUGAUGGGUGACGGAGCUCAGUCGUCGCAUCACUGCAAAUGAUAAAUUUCAUAGCCCUCUCAUCGCAUCAAAUUCCUUUGAUUCGCGGCCAAAUAUCAUAAAAGAAGCUGAUUGGAUCUUCCCUCAUCCCUCCACUGUAACAUUCAAUAUUUUUUCAGUCGUGAACCUCAGACGAAGACGGUUGGUCGCACUGCGUAAAAUUCUUCACGCUAGAUUUAUACCCGUAUUGUGAAAUGCCUCCGAGGAGUACAGCAGAACAAACGAAGAUAAUCAUCCAGUGUCUUUUUGAAGAUUUAAAAGGAAGGGAGGAGCUGACGGAGCCCGACGGCGUUCAAGAGGACUCAUUUGAUCCCACCUUGAUUGCUGAGAAGCUGCGAAAGCUUGGUGAUGACUAUGAAGAACAAGUGAUCCAACCACUGAUGAAAGAAAUUCAAAAAGCUGCAGCAGACGAGGUGCAGACAACCUUCGUCAAGAGCGUAGAGCACCUCUGUGAACAAUGGCUUUCUCAGAGUGCCGAGGUUGCACCAGAGAGGCUGCUCCUGAAAGCUUCUAUUUUCUUGGGUCUGUAUGCGAAGAGGAACUGCCCAGACCUGAACGCUGUCAUCCAGGAAACUAUGACAGCAUUCAUCAACACGCAAGUGGCCCCCUGGGUGUCCCAGCAGGGAGGCUGGGGUCAAGUGAUCUUGGAGUGAAGAUUGAGUUGUUCAGUAUAGAUCCCCCUGAUGAACAUAUCCCACCUCUUACCAGUGAUCUGAAUCUUUUCAGACUGCUCUACUCAGGGAGGAAAGUGCUGGAAUGGGAUACAUGA